GAGUUUGAUCCUGGCUCAGAUUGAACGCUGGCGGCAGGCCUAACACAUGCAAGUCGAACGGUAACAGAAAGCAGCUUGCUGCUUUGCUGACGAGUGGCGGACGGGUGAGUAAUGUCUGGGAAACUGCCUGAUGGAGGGGGAUAACUACUGGAAACGGUAGCUAAUACCGCAUAACGUCGCAAGACCAAAGAGGGGGACCUUCGGGCCUCUUGCCAUCGGAUGUGCCCAGAUGGGAUUAGCUUGUUGGUGGGGUAACGGCUCACCAAGGCGACGAUCUCUAGCUGGUCUGAGAGGAUGACCAGCCACACUGGAACUGAGACACGGUCCAGACUCCUACGGGAGGCAGCAGUGGGGAAUAUUGCACAAUGGGCGCAAGCCUGAUGCAGCCAUGCCGCGUGUAUGAAGAAGGCCUUCGGGUUGUAAAGUACUUUCAGCGGGGAGGAAGGGAGUAAAGUUAAUACCUUUGCUCAUUGACGUUACCCGCAGAAGAAGCACCG
rnacentral:rRNA from 1 species